rnacentral:lncRNA from 1 species
UACAUCGAAAGUCUUGAUCCACUGCUGGCUAGAUUUGAAAUCUAAUAGAUCACACACUUUGAGAUUUGACUUUGAUCUAAUCUAAUUAGAGUUCUAAGUGUUGCUUGAAUGCCCUAAGAUUUGAUUUUUUCAUGUGUUGGAGCCAAAAAUUAAAUCUUAGGUUGUAUGACAUCUAAAGAGUAUCUUCUAAGUGUCGUUCUGAUGG